UACGAAGGGGGCUAGCGUUGCUCGGAAUCACUGGGCGUAAAGGGUGCGUAGGCGGGUCUUUAAGUCAGGGGUGAAAUCCUGGAGCUCAACUCCAGAACUGCCCUUGAUACUGGAGACCUUGAGUCCGGGAGAGGUGAGUGGAAUUGCGAGUGUAGAGGUGAAAUUCGUAGAUAUUCGCAAGAACACCAGUGGCGAAGGCGGCUCACUGGCCCGGAACUGACGCUGAGAUGCGAAAGCGUGGGGAGCAAACAGGG
rnacentral:rRNA from 1 species